UACGUGAGGGGCUAACGUUGUUCGGUGUCACUGGGCUUAAAGGGUGCGUAGGUGGUUCUGUAAGUAAGGUGUGAAAUCCCUCGGCUUACCCGGGGGAAUUGCAUCUUAUACUGCAGGACUUGAGGAUCAGAGGGGGAAAGAGGAACUCCAGGUGUAGCGGUGAAAUGCGCAGAUAUCUGGGGGAAGGCCGGCGGCGAAGGCGUCUUUCUGGCUGGUUCCUGACACUGGAGGCACGAAAGCGUGGGGAGCAAACAGG
rnacentral:rRNA from 1 species